AACGCUGUAAAUUCUUUGAACCGUACGUAAUAAAGUAAUGCGCGUCUCAAAGUAUCAGAAACUUGGCAGAGAAUGGUUGAGCCGUUAGUCGAAUUCUACAAAAAGUUCAAAGAAUUUAUCCUUAUCAACUGAUAUAUCGACGAGGCCCUGUUUUUAAUUAACGAUCUUUCGAAUGGCUAAAUCUAACAACGAAGCGACAAGCGUAAUGAGUAAUGAACAAACAAAGCAAACCACCCCAGCUCUCACCAGGGAAGAAGAACCUUCAACUCUCGAAACAUCUGAACAACUACGAAGAAAACGAUCUGCUGCAAAAGGCGCAUUUACAAAAAAGAUGAAGGAGUUAACCAAAUCAAAAUUGAGCUUUCGAAGCUUGAGCGAAGCAAACAAUUAAAGCACAAGAAUUCAACGAAGUUGUAAACAGAUUUUACAACGCCCACAAGCGUCAUCAUGCUACAAUAGAAGAUGAUUAUGAUCACCAAGACUCAAACGAAUACCUUCAAAUUGAACAACAAAGAAUUUAAAAUUUGUAAAUGACCUUAAACGAAUGGCUCAGAGAGUUUACAAAACAACCAUCGAUGUCAGAAGUCAAGAUAAACCCCAGUGACUUGAUUAGUAACGUCGGAGAGAAGAGCCGUGUUAUAAAACUCGAGGUUUGAAGCUACAGUAGAUACAAAAUCUACCCAGGUCAUGGGAAAAGAUAUAUACGUAUAGAUGGAAAGUCUUUCAAUUUCCUGGACAAAAAAUGUGAGAGAUCCUUCUUGAUGAGAAGAAAUCCACGAAAGAUUUCAUGGACUGUCCUUUACCGUAGAAAACACAAAAAGGGCUCAGUUGAAGAGGUAUCCAAAAAGAGAACGAGACGAAAUGUUAAAUUCCAACGAGCCAUCCAGGGUGCAACUCUUGAAACUAUUUUGGCCAAACGCAAUCAGAAGCCUGAAGUAAGAAAAGCACAAAGAGAGCAGGCAAUAAGAGCUGCUAAAGAUAAAAUCAGGCAAAAGAAGGAGGCUAAAAA